rnacentral:rRNA from 1 species
CAGUAGCCGCGGUAAUACGAACCGUGCGAACGUUAUUCGGAGUCACUGGGCUUAAAGCGCGUGUAGGCGGGAGGGCACGUCCGUCGCUGAAAUCCCCCGGCUCAACCGGGGAACGGGCGCGGAUACGACUCUUCUGGAGGAACGUAGGGGGACCUGGAACUUCCGGUGGAGCGGUGAAAUGCGUUGAGAUCGGAAGGAACGCCCGUGGCGAAAGCGAGGUCCUGGACGUUUACUGACGCUGAGACGCGAAAGCCAGGGGAGCGAACGGGAUUAGAUACCCCAGUAGUCCCUGUCUCUUAUU